CGGGGUGCUGCACCAGUGGGGAAUAUUGCACAAUGGGCGCAAGCCUGAUGCAGCCAUGCCGCGUGUAUGAAGAAGGCCUUCGGGUUGUAAAGUACUUUCAGCUGGGAGGAAGGGAGUAAAGUUAAUACCUUUGCUCAUUGACGUUACCCGCAGAAGAAGCACCGGCUAACUCCGUGCCAGCAGCCGCGGUAAUACGGAGGGUGCAAGCGUUAAUCGGAAUUACUGGGCGUAAAGCGCACGCAGGCGGUUUGUUAAGGCAGAUGUGAAAUCCCCGGGCUCAACCUGGGAACUGCAUCUGAUACUGGCAAGCUAGAGUCUGGUAGAGGGGGGUAGAAUUCCAGGUGUAGCGGUGAAAUGCGUAGAGAUCUGGAGGAAUACCGGUGGCGAAGGCGGCCCCCUGGACGAAGACUGACGCUCAGGUGCGAAAGCGUGGGGAGCAAACAGGAUUAGAUACCCCUGUAGUC
rnacentral:rRNA from 1 species